rnacentral:rRNA from 1 species
GAUGAACGCUGGCGGCGUGCCUAAUACAUGCAAGUCGAGCGAACGGACGAGAAGCUUGCUUCUCUGAUGUUAGCGGCGGACGGGUGAGUAACACGUGGAUAACCUACCUAUAAGACUGGGAUAACUUCGGGAAACCGGAGCUAAUACCGGAUGAUAUUUUGAACCGCAUGGUUCAAAAGUGAAAGACGGUCUUGCUGUCACUUAUAGAUGGAUCCGCGCUGCAUUAGCUAGUUGGUAAGGUAACGGCUUACCAAGGCAACGAUGCAUAGCCGACCUGAGAGGGUGAUCGGCCACACGGGAACUGAGACACGGUCCAGACUCCUACGGGAGGCAGCAGUAGGGAAUCUUCCGCAAUGGGCGAAAGCCUGACGGAGCAACGCCGCGUGAGUGAUGAAGGUCUUCGGAUCGUAAAACUCUGUUAUUAGGGAAGAACAUAUGUGUAAGUAACUGUGCACAUCUUGACGGUACCUAAUCAGAAAGCCACGGCUAACUACG